ensembl:lncRNA
CAGGACCCAGAGAACCCCAUAAAACCCCACAGAACCCCCCAAACCCCACAGAACCCCAUAGGGUUCUGUGGGGUUCCGGAGGUCCUAUGGGAUCCUAUAGGAUUCACGGGGGUUCUAUGGGGAUCUAUGGGGUUCUGUGGGCUUCUAUGGGGUCCUAUGGGAUCCUAUAGGGUUCUGUGGGGUACGAUAGGGUUCUAUGGGGUCCUAUGGGAUCCUAUAGGGUUCUAUGGGGUUCUGUGGGGUGCUAUAGGGUUCUGUGGGGUCCUAUGGGGUUCUGUGGGGUCCGAUAGGGCCUAUGGGGUUCUAUGGGGGUCCUAUAGGGGUCCUAAGGGGUCUUAUAGGGUUCUGUGGGGUUCUGGGGCUCCUAUGGGAUCCUAUGGGGUUCUGUGGGCUUCUAUGGGGUCCUAUGGGAUCCUAUAGGGUUCUGUGGGGUCCUAUGGGGUUCUGUGGGGUCUAUGGGGUCCUAUUGGGGUCCUUUAGGGGUCUAUGGGGUUCUAUAGGGGUCCUAUGGGUGUCUAUGGGGUUCUAUGAGGGUCCUAUAGGGGUCUAUGAGGUUCUGUGGGAUCCUAUGGGAUCCUAUAGGGUUCUGUGGGGUCCUAUGGGGUCCUAUGGGGUUCUGUGGGGGUCCUAUGGGGGUCUAUGGGGUCCUAUGGGGGUCCUUUAGGGGUCUAUGGGGUUCUAUGGGGGUCCUAUGGGAUCCUAUAGGGUUCUGUGGGGUCCUAUGGGGUUCUGUGGGGUCUAUGCAGUCCUAAGGGGUCCUAUAGGGUUCUGUGGGCUUCAGUAGGGUUCCGGGGCUCCUACGGGAUCCUAUAGGGUUCUGUGGGGUUCUAUGGGAUCCUAUGGGGGUCUAUGGGGUUCUGUGGGUUCCUAUGGGGUUCUGUGGGGUUCUAUGGGAUCCUAUGGGGGUCCUAUGGGGGUCUAUGGGGUUCUGUGGGGGUCCUAUAGGCGUCUAUGGGGUUCUGUGGGAUCCUAUAGGUGUCUAUGGGGUUCUGUGGGAUCCUAUAGGGUUCUGUGGGGUCCUAUGGGGUCCUAUGGGGUUCUGUGGGGGUCCUAUGGGGAUCUAUGGGGUCCUAUGGGGGCCCUAUAGGGGUCUAUGGGGUUCUGUGGGAUCCUAUAGGCGUCUAUGGGUUCCUGUGGGAUCCUAUAGGGGUCAAAGGGGUUCUGUGGGAUCCUAUGGGAUCCUACAGGGUUCUGUGGGGUCCUAUGGGAUCCUAUGAGAUCCUAUAGGGUUCUGUGGGGUUCUAUGGGGUCCUAUGGGAUCCUAUUGGGUUCUGUGGGUUCCUAUGGGGUUCUGUGGGGUCUAUGGGGUCCUAUGGGAUCCUAUAGGGUUCUGUGGGGUUCUACGGGGUCCUAUGGGAUCCUAUAGUGUUCGGCGGGAUCCUGAGGGGUUCUGUGGGGUCUAUGGGGUCCUAUGGGGGCCCUAUAGGAGUCUAUGGGGUUCUGUGGGAUCCUAUAGGGUUCUGUGGGGGUCCUAUGGGGGUCUAUGGGGUCCUAUGGGGGCCCUAUAGGGGUCUAUGGGGUUCUGCGGGAUCCUAUAGAGGUCAAUGGGGUUCUGUGGGAUCCUAUAGGGGUCUAUGGGUUCCUCUGGGUGUCCUAUAGCGAUCAAUGGGAUUCGACGGCGUUUUGGGACCCCCCCCGAAAUCCCCCCCGCCCCAAAAAGGGACCCCAAAACGGCCCCAAAUCCCAAAACCCCCCCAAAAAAGCCCCAAAUUCCC